rnacentral:tRNA from 1 species
CGGGGUGUAGCUCAGCCUGGCCAGAGCGCUACGUUCGGGACGUAGAAGUCGCGAGUUCAAAUCCCGCCACCCCGA